rnacentral:rRNA from 1 species
GAUGAACGCUGGCGGCGUGCCUAAUACAUGCAAGUCGAGCGAACAGAUGAGGAUCUUGCUCCUCUGACGUUAGCGGCGGACGGGUGAGUAACACGUGGAUAACCUACCUAUAAGACUGGGAUAACUUCGGGAAACCGGAGCUAAUACCGGAUAAUAUAUUGAACCGCAUGGUUCAAUAGUGAAAGACGGUUUUGCUGUCACUUAUAGAUGGAUCCGCGCCGCAUUAGCUAGUUGGUAAGGUAACGGCUUACCAAGGCAACGAUGCGUAGCCGACCUGAGAGGGUGAUCGGCCACACUGGAACUGAGACACGGUCCAGACUCCUACGGGAGGCAGCAGUAGGGAAUCUUCCGCAAUGGGCGAAAGCCUGACAGAGCAACGCCGCGUGAGUGAUGAAGGUCUUCGGAUCGUAAAACUCUGUUAUUAGGGAAGAACAAAUGUGUAAGUAACUAUGCACGUCUUGACGGUACCUAAUCAGAAAGCCACGGCUAACUACGUG